rnacentral:lncRNA from 1 species
GAGAGAGAGAGUUUUGGUUGCUGCCUUCUCUCUAUCUAGCUGAAGCCGUACGCAAGGAGAGAGGCUUCGGGUGGAGUUGGAGUGAUGUCGACGUUGCGCGGCGGUGCCGUUCGAGCGCGCGUUCGUUGUGGUAGCGCCGUUGGGAGGCUGGGCGAGCGUGUGGUUCCGCUUCUAUCGACUUAUCGCCGUUGUUGGACGCGCUUCCGAGGUGGGUUAAAGUGAUGCUUACCGGAUUCUAAGGGUUUCCUCCUAAUUCUAUAUGUGUUG